UACGUAGGGGCGAGCGUUGUCCGGAUUUAUUGGGCGUAAAGAGCGUGUAGGCGGCCAGGUAGGUCUGCUGUGAAAACUCGAGGCUCAACCUCGAGACGUCGGCGGAAACCAUCUGGCUAGAGUCCGGAAGAGGAGAGUGGAAUUCCUGGUGUAGCGGUGAAAUGCGCAGAUAUCAGGAAGAACACCCGUGGCGAAGGCGGCUCUCUGGGACGGUACUGACGCUGAGACGCGAAAAGCGUGGGGGAGCGAAACAGGG
rnacentral:rRNA from 1 species